rnacentral:rRNA from 1 species
UACGUAGGGGGCAAGCGUUGUCCGGAAUCAUUGGGCGUAAAGCGCGUGUAGGCGGCUGAGUAAGUCUGCUCUGAAAGCCCGGGGCUCAACCCCGGGAGGCGGGUGGAUACUGCUCAGCUCGAGUCCGGAAGAGGAGUGUGGAAUUCCUGGUGUAGCGGUGAAAUGCGCAGAUAUCAGGAGGAACACCGAUGGCGAAGGCAGGUCUCUGGGCCGAUACUGACGCUGAGGAGCGAAAGCGUGGGGAGCGAACGGG